GUGGCCGUAGCUCAAAGGUUAGAGUCCCAGAUUGUGGAUCUGGAUGUUGCGGGUUCAAUUCCCGUCGGCCACC
rnacentral:tRNA from 1 species